rnacentral:tRNA from 1 species
UCUAAUAUGGCAGAUUAGUGCAUUGGAUUUAAACCCCAAAAAUAAAGGUUACACUUUUUUUAGAA